AUUCCCUACGGGACGCAGCAGUGGGGAAUAUUGCACAAUGGGGGAAACCCUGAUGCAGCAACGCCGCGUGAAGGAAGACGGUUUUCGGAUUGUAAACUUCUGUUCUUAGUGAAGAAUAAUGACGGUAGCUAAGGAGCAAGCCACGGCUAACUACGUGCCAGCAGCCGCGGUAAUACGUAGGUGGCAAGCGUUGUCCGGAUUUAUUGGGUUUAAAGGGUGCGUAGGCGGGCUUUUAAGUCAGCGGUAAAAAUUCGGGGCUCAACCCCGUCCGGCCGUUGAAACUGGGGGCCUUGAGUGGGCGAGAA
rnacentral:rRNA from 1 species